AGUGAACGCUGGCAGUAGGCCUAACACAUGCAAGUUGAACGGCAGCACAGGAGAGCUUGCUCUCUGGGUGGCGAGUGGCGGACGGGUGAGGAAUACAUCGGAAUCUACUCUGUCGUGGGGGAUAACGUAGGGAAACUUACGCUAAUACCGCAUACGACCUACGGGUGAAAGCAGGGGAUCUUCGGACCUUGCGCGAUUGAAUGAGCCGAUGUCGGAUUAGCUAGUUGGCGGGGUAAAGGCCCACCAAGGCGACGAUCCGUAGCUGGUCUGAGGGGAUGAUCAGCCACACUGGAACUGAGACACGGUCCAGACUCCUACGGGAGGCAGCAGUGGGGAAUAUUGGACAAUGGGCGCAAGCCUGAUCCAGCCAUACCGCGUGGGUGAAGAAGGCCUUCGGGUUGUAAAGCCCUUUUGUUGGGAAAGAAAUCCAGCUGGCUAAUACCCGGUUGGGAUGACGGUACCCAAAGAAUAAGCACCGGCUAACUUCGUGCCAGCCGCCGCCGUAA
rnacentral:rRNA from 1 species